GGAAUGGAACAAGCAACAUCAACCACAGACUGCUAUGGGAGCAUAACAAUCCCCAAAAAUAAAUGAAAUAGUGGAGGAAGUAAAACUUCAAUCAAAAUAGUAGUCCUGGGUCUCAAUAAAACAAAAAGCACUGUAGCAAUGAAGAGGAGGAGGACAAACGAGUUCAAUCAGACCAUGGGCUGGAAAAAUGAGCUUAGUUGAAGCCGAAAGCCCCCUUGGUGAAGUCACAAGGCACUUCCGCAGCCUCUGAUGUAAGACCCAAAGCAGACCAGAGUCUAGGAGGUUAUGUCAAAGUCUAGAGAGAACCCAGAGGACUGCGAUGAAGGCUAGAGAAGACCCAAGGGAGGUUUUGUUCACUCUAACAGGGCAUGUAGGACUGCAACAGUCCUAGUUCUAGGCCGGAGGCCCUUUGGCUCGAGCCGAAAAAGGGUCAGAAAGGUGUCGGCUUAAGCUAAAAGUGUCGAAGGGUUGGUCAGCUGAGUAUGGGUGACACCGGUAGACCUUUCACUGGUGAUGGGUGGUGGAUGGUUGGUGUCGGGGAGUGUGGGUGAUGGGUUUAGGGUUUCGGCUUUGAAUGUUUGUUUAGGAAAAUCAAACUUAGGGUUGAUAAUGAUAUCACACCCCUUUAUAUUAAUAAUUCAAAAUAUUACAAAGGAAGCCUUAAGGCACAAAAUAAAGAAUCAGCUAAUUAUAGCUUGAUAAAUAAAACAAAUGAUAAAAACAAGAAUAUAUUCAACAUAUAUUCUAACAUGUGUGUGGGUCAAAGGAUACCAAAAAGCUAUUGUCUUAUAUUAAUGCUUUGUCCCACCCACUAGUACAUGUCAGGCUACUCAUUAACUGCUAGGCAAAGGAACAAAUGUAAAAUGGUGUUCGAAGGUUCAUAGAAGACAUGUUGCCUAGGAACUUGUGGAGUGGUUGAAUGUGGACCUCUCAAGGAUCAAGUGCAGGUAGAGUAGGAAAAGGCUACAAAGUGUGUUUAUGACUAUGUAUAGGUUACUGGAAGUACGAUUUCUUCCUAUGGGGCAGCGAGCAUCGGGUAAUGGAAAUGCAAUGCUUGGUUUUCUUUUUUGGUACAUGGGCAACCAUGUUGGAAAGAUAAAAUGUUGAUCCUUGAGAAGUGCAAAACGGGUAGAUUUAUAUAUUUUCAACCUUCUCAUGUGUAUAUAUAUAUAUAGAAGUGUACGACAUGUGUUGUGGAAGAGAGGUGUGAAAGGGAAGUAGCCAAGGGUGCUGUAAAAGAGGGUGCGUACCAGUGAGGGGGGCUUGGGGCUCAUGGACUCGGUUACCAUGAGUAGGGGUGUUGAGUAUUGCUGUCAGAUUUUGUCUAUUUUCAUCUCAACGUUGUACUAUCUAUUAUUUCUAGUGGAUUUAUCUCUCUCACCUGUGGGCAUAGGCAUUUUUGCUAAACCACGUCAUGUAUUAUGUCUGUGUGUUUUUUUUUUUUGUUUGUGUGUGUGUGUGUGUGUGCAAAUUUAUUUUAGGAAAGCUUCCAUUGACACACAGGAAUGUUUUUCCCAAGUGGUAUUAGAGUUUUAGGUGGUUGGGAGACUCACCUAGAGUGCCAAGGGUGUCUUCGUAUGAGACCAAAGUGUUAGUGUGUGAUGAUGAAACAUUAUAAAAAAUACACGGUAAUGAUAAUUGUGUCACAAGCAAAGAGAUGAAAGAUUCCAAAGAGCAAUCUUUGGAUAGCACUUGUGUUGAAGGUUGAUGAACUAACACUCACUCAGAAAAUGUUGUUGCACACUUUGGAAGGUGAUUUAGAGUGUGGUUGAAGUCUGUGCUGACUCUAGUUUUUCCUCAUGAAAAAAAAUACCAAAUGGAUUAUUUGGUAUUUUUCUUCCUAAUUGCUAGGUUUUAAAACAGACUUUGGAUGGCCAAGGUUCCUUAGUCUGCUGACUAAGGCGGUCGGGUUUGUGUUAUGAAAUCUAGUUUGUUUGGCCACGACCAUUGUUUUGGGCGGCUAAACAGUGGGCACAAAAAAACCCACUCUGGCUCCUACUUUGAUUAGCUAACCUGUGUGGCUUUCCUGACCAACAUGCGGGUAUGUCAAACCUGACAUUGGACUGACUUUGGUAGAUCAAUCUGUGUGCCAGUUAACCUGAUACUACCUUGGUUGACCACACUGGGCCAAAGUGGGCUGUUACUUCCAGGCGUUCUUGGUCCUAGCCUUGUUGAGUGCCAUUUUAAUGUCAAUGAUGCCUCUACUUGACUUCUCCCAUGAAUCCUCUGGCAUUCCAAGUUCUCCAGGCUUUCCAAUGCGCUUCCAAUGACAGUGGUUUAGGUUCUAUCUAAGGUUGCAAAUAAAAAAUUAUGAAAUUGCCAACUUAUGCUAAUCCUAGUACUAACAAUCUCCCUUCUAGCGAUUUCAUGACAACACACUCACAAAUUGGAAUUCUGUCCCCAUUUCCAUACAGUACAUAUUUUUCUCAUCUCAUGAUCUCUUGCCGAAAAAAAAAAAAAAAAAAA